rnacentral:rRNA from 1 species
GUAGUCAUAUGCUUGUCUCAAAGAUUAAGCCAUGCAUGCCUAAACACAAACCUUUACACGGUGAAGCUGCGAAUGGCUCAUUAGGCCACCCAUGAUUUAUUAGAUUGUACAAUCCUACUUGGAUAACUGUGGUAAUUCUAGAGCUAAUACAUGCAAGUAGCUCCGACCCCUCCGGGAAAGAGCGCGUUUAUUAGAUCAAAACCAAUCGGGUCUUCGGAUCCGUACGUUUGGCGACUCUGGAUAACUUCGAGCUGAUCGCAUGGCCUCGUGCCGGCGACGUAUCUUUCAAGUGUGUGCCCUAUCAACUGUCGAUGGUAAGUGAUAUGCUUACCAUGGUGGCAACGGGUAACGGGAAUGGGGCGGGGGCGGCGGGCCGGGCGCGGGGCGCGGCGGGCG